rnacentral:rRNA from 1 species
AGAGUUUGAUCCUGGCUCAGGACGAACGCUGGCGGCGCGCCUAACACAUGCAAGUCGAACGAGAGAGAAGGAGCUUGCUUCUUCGAUCGAGUGGCGAACGGGCGAGUAACGCGUGAGGAACCUGCCUCAAAGAGGGGGACAACAGUUGGAAACGACUGCUAAUACCGCAUAAGCCCACAGGUCGGCAUCGGCCAGAGGGAAAAGGAGCAAUCCGCUUUGAGAUGGCCUCGCGUCCGAUUAGCUAGUUGGUGAGGUAAUGGCCCACCAAGGCGACGAUCGGUAGCCGGACUGAGAGGUUGAACGGCCACAUUGGGACUGAGACACGGCCCAGACUCCUACGGGAGGCAGCA